GGGCCUCUAGCUCAACGGUAGAGCAAGUGACUCUUAAUCACUGGGUUCGGGGUUCGAAUCCCCGGGGGCUCACCC
rnacentral:tRNA from 1 species